AGGGAAUCUUCCACAAUGGACGCAAGUCUGAUGGAGCAACGCCGCGUGAGUGAAGAAGGUCUUCGGAUCGUAAAGCUCUGUUGUUGGUGAAGAAGGAUAGAGGCAGUAACUGGUCUUUAUUUGACGGUAAUCAACCAGAAAGUCACGGCUAACUACGUGCCAGCAGCCGCGGUAAUACGUAGAUGGCAAGCGUUGUCCGGAUUUAUUGGGCGUAAAGCGAGCGCAGGCGGAAUGAUAAGUCUGAUGUGAAAGCCCACGGCUCAACCGUGGAACUGCAUCGGAAACUGUCAUUCUUGAGUGCAGAAGAGGAGAGUGGAACUCCAUGUGUAGCGGUGGAAUGCGUAGAUAUAUGGAAGAACACCAGUGGCGAAGGCGGCUCUCUGGUCUGCAACUGACGCUGAGGCUCGAAAGCAUGGGUAGCGAACAGGAUUAGAUACCCUGGUAGUCCAUGCCGUAAACGAUGAGCGCUAGGUGUUGGGGGACUUUCCGGUCCUCAGUGCCGCAGCAAAUCGCAUUAAGCGCUCCGCCUGGGGAGUACGACCGCAAGGUUGAAACG
rnacentral:rRNA from 1 species